rnacentral:rRNA from 1 species
UACGGAGGGUGCAAGCGUUAUCCGGAUUCACUGGGUUUAAAGGGUGCGUAGGCGGCUUUGUAAGUCAGUGGUGAAAUACUCCAGCUUAACUGGAGGGGUGCCAUUGAUACUGCGGAGCUUGAGUACAGAUGAGGUAGGCGGAAUUGACGGUGUAGCGGUGAAAUGCAUAGAUAUCGUCAAGAACACCGAUAGCGAAGGCAGCUUACUGGGCUGUAAUUGAUGCUGAUGCACGAAAGUGUGGGGAUCAAACAGG